rnacentral:rRNA from 1 species
CUACGGAACUCCUACGGGAGGCAGCAGCCGCGGUAAUACGUAGGGUGCAAGCGUUAAUCGGAAUUACUGGCGUAAAGCGUGCGCAGGCGGUUGUGUAAGUCAGAUGUGAAAUCCCCGGGCUCAACCUGGGAAUUGCAUUUGAGACUGCACGGCUAGAGUGUGUCAGAGGGGGGUAGAAUUCCACGUGUAGCAGUGAAAUGCGUAGAUAUGUGGAGGAAUACCGAUGGCGAAGGCAGCCCCCUGGGAUAACACUGACGCUCAUGCACGAAAGCGUGGGGAGCAAACAGGAUUAGAUACCCGUGUAGUCCUCUUCGA